rnacentral:rRNA from 1 species
AGAGAAAGAUCCUGGCUCAGGACGAACGCUGGCGGCGUGCCUAAUACAUGCAAGUCGAACGCUUCUUUCCUCCCGAGUGCUUGCACUCAAAAGGAAAGAGGAGUGGCGGACGGGUGAGUAACACGUGGGUAACCCCCUCAGAGGGGGAUAACACUUGGAAACAGGUGCUAAUACCGCAUAACAGUUUAUGCCGCAUGGCAUAAGAGUGAAAGGCGCUUUCGGGUGUCGCUGAUGGAUGGACCCGCGGUGCAUUAGCUAGUUGGUGAGGUCGGCUCACCAAGGCCACGAUGCAUAGCCGACCUGAGAGGGUGAUCGGCCACACUGGGACUGAGACACGGCCCAGACUCUACGGGAGGCAGCAGUAGGGAAUCAACGGCAAUGGACGAAAGUCUGACCGAGCAACGCCGCGUGAGUGAAGGGUAAAUCGGAUCGUAAAACUCUGAAAUUAGAGAAGAACAAGGACGUUAGUAACUGCGUCCCUGACGGUAUCUAACCAGAAAGCCACGGCUAACUACGUGCCAGCAGCCGCGGUAAUACGUAGGUGGCAAGCGUUGUCCGGAUUUAUUGGGCGUAAAGCGAGCGCAGGCGGAAACUUAAGUCUGAUGUGAAAGCCCCCGGCUCAACCGGGGAGGGUCAUUGGAAACUGGGAGACUUGAGUGCAGAAGAGGAGAGUGGAAUUCCAUGUGUAGCGGUGAAAUGCGUAGAUAUAUGGAGGAACACCAGUGGCGAAGGCGGCUCUCUGGUCUGUCUGACGCUGAGGCUCGAAAGCGUGGGGAGCAAACAGGAUUAGAUACCCUGGUAGUCCACGCCGUCGAUGAGUGCUAAGUGUUGGAGGGAAACCGCCCUUCAGUGCUGCAGCAAACGCAUUAAGCACUCCGCCUGGGGAGUACGACCGCAAGGUUGAAACUCAGGAAUUGACGCCCGCCCGACAAGUAGCAUGUGUUUAAUUCGAAGCAACGCGAAGAACCUUACCAGGUCAAGACAUCCUUUGACCACUCUAGAGAUAGAGCUUUCCCUUCGGGGACAAAGUGACAGUGGUGCAUGGUUGUCGUCAGCUCGUGUCGUGAGAUGUUGGGUUAAGUCCGCAACGAGCGCAACCCUUAUUGUUAGUUGCCAUCAAUUAGUUGGGCACUCUAGCGAGACUGCCGGUGACAAACCGGAGGAAGGUGGGGAUGACGUCAAAUCAUCAAUUAUGAGGCUACACACGUGCUACAAUGGGAAGUACAACGAGUCGCUAGACCGCGAGGUCAUGCAAAUCACUUAAAGCUUCUCUCAGUUCGGAUUGCAGGCUGCAACUCGCCUGCAUGAAGCCGGAAUCGCUAGUAAUUUUGGAUCAGCACGCCGCGGUGAAUACGUUCCCGGGCCAAGUACACACCGCCCGUCACACCACGAGAGUUUCUAACACCCGAAGUCGGUGAGGUAACCGGAGCCAGCCGCCUAAGGUGGGAUAGAUGAUUUGGGUGAAGUCGUAACAAGGUAACC